GGGCGGAUGUAGCCAAGUGGAUCAAGGCAGGG
rnacentral:tRNA from 1 species